AAGACCGCGAGGCAGAGNAACCCCUAAAAGCCGCUCAUUCGGAUUGCAGGCUGCAACUCGCCUGCAUGAAGUCGGAAUUGCUAGUAAUCGCGGAUCAGAAUGCCGCGGUGAAUGCGUUCCCGGGUCUUGUACACACCGCCCGUCACACCAUGGAAGUUGGGGGCGCCCGAAGUUGGUCGAGGAAUAGAUUACCUAAGGCGAAACCAAUGACUGGGGUGAAGUCGUAACAAGGUAUC
rnacentral:rRNA from 1 species